rnacentral:rRNA from 1 species
UGUCCCAGCCGCCGCGGUAAUACGUAGGGUGCAAGCGUUAAUCGGAAUUACUGGGCGUAAAGCGUGCGCAGGCGGUUGUGUAAGACAGAUGUGAAAUCCCCGGGCUCAACCUGGGAACUGCAUUUGUGACUGCACAGCUUAGAGCGCGGCAGAGGGGGAUGGAAUUCCGCGUGUAGCAGUGAAAUGCGUAGAUAUGCGGAGGAACACCGAUGGCGAAUGCA